CGUGUAGGCGGAAUGUCAGGUGUCGUGUGAAAGCCCCGGGCUCAACCCGUGAAUGGCAUGGCAAACCGGCAUUCUUGAGGCAGGUAGAGGUGACUGGAACGACUGGUGGAGCGGUGAAAUGCGUAGAUAUCAGUUGGAACGCCAGAGGCGAAAGCGAGUCACUGGACCUGUCCUGACGCUGAGACGCGAAAGCGUGGGGAGCAAACAGGAUUAGAUACCCUGGUAGUCC
rnacentral:rRNA from 1 species